UACAGAGGGGGCAAGCGUUGUUCGGAAUUACUGGGCGUAAAGGGCGCGUAGGCGGCCUGCUAAGUCGAACGUGAAAUCCCCGGGCUCAACCCGGGAACUGCGUCCGAUACUGGCAGGCUUGAAUCCGGGAGAGGGAUGCGGAAUUCCAGGUGUAGCGGUGAAAUGCGUAGAUAUCUGGAGGAACACCGGUGGCGAAGGCGGCAUCCUGGACCGACACUGACACUGAGGAGCGAAAGCCAGGGGAGCAAACGGG
rnacentral:rRNA from 1 species